GUGGGGAAUAUUGCACAAUGGGGGAAACCCUGAUGCAGCAACGCCACGUGUGGGAAGAAGCAUUUCGGUGUGUAAACCACUGUCGUGAGGGAAUAAGGCUAUUUUUCGGAGUAGUUGAAUGUACCUCGAGAGGAAGCACCGGCAAACUUCGUGCCAGCAGCCGCGGUAAUACGAGGGGUGCAAGCGUUGUUCGGAAUCACUGGGCGUAAAGGGAGCGCAGGCGGAAGUUCAAGCGGAUUGUACAAUACCGGGGCCCAACCCCGGACCUGCAGUCCGAACUGGGCUUCUUGGAUAGUUCAGGGGCAAGCGGAAUUCCUGGUGUAGCGGUGGAAUGCGUAGAGAUCAGGAAGAACACCGAUGGCGAAGGCAGCUUGCUGGGGACUUAUCGACGCUCAUGCUCGAAAGUGCGGGUAGCAAACAGG
rnacentral:rRNA from 1 species